rnacentral:rRNA from 1 species
UACGAACUGUGCAAACGUUAUUCGGAAUCACUGGGCUUAAAGGGUGCGUAGGCGGCGAUUUAAGUAGGGUGUGAAAUCCCCCGGCUCAACCGGGGAACUGCGCUCUAAACUGGAUCGCUCGAGUGAGAUAGGGGUGUGUGGAACUCACAGUGGAGCGGUGAAAUGCGUUGAUAUUGUGAGGAACGCCGGAGGCGAAAGCGGCGCACUGGAUCUCUUCUGACGCUGAGGCGCGAAAGCUAGGGGAGCAAACGGG